CCGAACUAGGACGUGGGAGCCACGGAGAGUAUUUUUAUGCUUACGUCAGUUAUUGACAAGAAUGCAAAGAGUAAGCAAAACAAAAAAAAUAACCGACUGUAUUCCCUGUUCGUUGAUUACUCAACCCUAGGGAUAUAUUAUUUCGGAAAUUGAAAGAUGCGGGCAUCGAUGGAGAGUUCUUUACAAUUAUUGAGUCUAUACAUGCACGAUCGAGCGGCAGUGAAAAUUGAUAAUCUUAGAUCUAAAGAAUUUCCCUGGAAAGAAGAGGUUCAUCAGGGAUGAAUUCCAAGAACUCUAUUCAAUCUUUUUCUAAGCGAAUUACCCGAAUAUCUAGGCCAAGCGAACGUUAACCAAAAAUGACAGAAUUACAGGAAAGUGUGUCAAUACACUUAUUUACGCGGACGACUUAGUGCUAACGUCUCAAUCGGCAAACGUUCUACAGACACUAAUCAAUUCACUUAGCGAAUAUUGCGAGAACCAUCUUGAAGUGAAUAUCUCAAAGCCAAAGGCACUUAUCGUCUUUGUAUUUCGGAUUUCGCCGCCAAGUAAACUGUCAGCGAUAUAAACAAUGAAUGCGUGACAACACCACAGGAAGCCCAUGUAAGCACAGUUAGUUAAAAAAACACGUUUUUGUCGUGUACACUACUAGCUACUAAUUGUACAACUUACUAGAGGGGCAUAAAAGCUCGAACAGCCAAUUUGAGACUGUUAAAAAAUAUCCACUUCACUGUUAUGGAACCUAGGGAUAGAAGAGGGGGUUGUCAUUGUUGCCUCUGGAUACAAGCAUUGGCAGGGUUGUCAUGCACCCUGGGGAUAUAAACGAUAAACGGGUGUUUUUAUGCACCCUAGGGAUGCAAUCUAUUUGUUUUCAUGAAACCUUGGGAUAAAAGAGAGGGUAGUUAUGGACCCUAAGGAUAUUUAUAUCAGAUAUCAAGACUCUAGACGUAAAUAGUGGUAGAGAUUCUAGAAGAAGCACACAAGUUUACACUUUACUUGUAGCACAAGGACAUGUUGCCAAGACCUCACCAGCUCACUGAUAUGUUCUAUGAAAGCAGCCUUGUGGAAACCAAGAUUUGGGCUACCUUUGGCAGUCCGCGAUUCACCAGGAUUUUUCGCACUUACCUUGUGUUUCCGAUAAUGUUGAAAGCUCCUUCUUCGAUUUUUAUUGCGAAUACGAUGGCAAUAUCAAAGAAUUAUUUGCAAUGUCCAGUUCAGAACUACUAUGAUUGCAAAUCAUUGCCCAAGAAAUAAAAAAAAAAUGGAUUGCUUCAUUAUUUUAAACCAAGGCAAACACAGCCACGGAGAAGACACAGAGAUUCUUUAGAAAUCAGUGGGCUCCAGUGAAUACUGCAGUGUACUUACAUGCAGAAGCUAUUGUUAGGGAUGACCAGGAGAUCAUAAAUUCUGUAUAGUUCACUAUAUGUUAAGACAUGAGCAGUAAUCUUUUCAGUAGCUAUUAUCAUGGCAACCAAUUAGACCCGAAUAGCUUACUGCGUAUGUACAGGCAAGCAGCUCGGGGUGGGCACAUGGGUUGUGCCCCUCCCACUCAACCACCAAAAAGCAGUCUUUUUUUUUUAAAUAUAUUUACUUUCCAUAAUAUCUAUGACUGCACAUCCCCUCCACAGCUAAUCAGAUUGUUUAUUAUGGUUAUCAGACUUCACCUUUCCUUUUCUAGACAUACAAUGGCUUCAAUUGAAUAAUUUCUUUUGUUUAAUAAAAUAAGACUACAAGCAAUUUGUUUUUGUUCUACUUCUCUUAUAAAACAAACAGAGAAACCAUGAAGGGGUUAGUGAUCAGCCAAGACAGUGGCUGCAAAGAAAAUGGGGUCAUGCAUAAACCUGGCUUAUGAAAAAUGUGUGGACUGCCCCACACAAAUCUAAAAGAAUAUUGAUUUAACCCUUGCAAUUCAAUGGCCAACCAACUAUGAGCUCAAGCACUUCACUUCUCCAUGAGAACUUCUAGUAUAGUUUAUUAUAUCAGCGAUAGAAAUGGAAUAGGAAAUAUGAACGUUAUAUGUACACGACAAAAACGUGUUUUUUUAACUAACUGUGCUUACAUGGGCUUCCUGUGGUGUUGUCACGCAUUUUUUGUUUAUAGCGUUGACAGUUGACGUUGGCGGCGAAAUCCGGAUACAAAGACGACCUCAAAUUGGUAAAAAACGGCAAGAAAUCUCUUACAAGCUACAAACAAUAGAACCAAAAUUAGUUCCUACACGGGGAAAUUGUAAUGUUUCUAGUACAGCUUUCUAUGAAGGACUAAAUUCGACGGGAAGCGUGGCGUACGAUUGCGUAUAAUUCGAGGUCGAUCGAAUGGUUUACCUAGCAUUAUCGAGUGCUCUUUUGAACUUCUACGGUUAGGUACGCCUUGUAAGAUGUUAUUUAGAGUCUACCAGGACCACGUUUUGCAUUUAUAUGAACUUAUUUUGGCGAUAAAAGGUGCCCCGAUGCAAAGGUACGUUACGACAGCCAUUAUCUUGCAAUUGUUGAAAUAUGAGCGCUCAGAGGGGUAUACCUAGAGUGAAAAGAAUUGUGCAAUUCCACGUCCCAUGGAAGAUAUAGGCCUCGUUUUCCGGGCUUAUUUACGGAGUACGAAAAACAAAAAAUAAUAGAAAAAUCUGUUAAAAAU